GCAGUUGGCAGGCUGCUGCGGGAGGCGGCGGCGGUAGGAAGCCGGAGACAGCAGGGUGACAGAGAUAAAAGAGGAGUAGAAGGUAAAAGAAAAUGCUGGGAACUGACCGUUGUGUUGUGGAAGAAUGGUUAUCAGAAUUCAAGGCAUUACCUGACACUCAGAUCACCAGUUAUGCAGCAACUUUACACCGGAAAAAAACACUUGUACCAGCCCUCUAUAAAGUUAUUCAAGAUUCAAAUAAUGAGGUAGGAGACCUCAAGAAAAAUAAUUUCUACAUAGUGAAAUGAAAUAUGUAUACCAAAACACAUAAAUUUAAGUUUUAUAAUUUUCUUUCCUUGUGGAUCUGGAAAAUUUUCUUUCUGCUGUUUUUCAUUCUGAUAGUUGCUUUGGCUUUCCCUAUUCCCUGCCUUUCCAUAUUUUGAAAUGUUUUGGUCAAAUUUUUUCCUGUUGAGUGUGCAGUAUGUUUUGAUUGUUAAUUUUAUUGACCAUCAUCUCAGUGGAUUAUUUAUUUGAAACUUUUCUGUUUCCUG
rnacentral:lncRNA from 1 species